CCACUAAUCUGUCAGAGAUAUUGUAGAAGAAAAUUUACCAAGGUGUUAGCAUAAAAAUUGAUUUUGUUUCUCAUUUUAUUCCUUAGAAUCAAAUGAGAGAGACAGGCUUAGAGGAAAAUAUGGGGAAAAUGGAAUUAGAGAAGUUAAAUGAUAUAUCCUAUAAUGGAAAAGGGUGUCCAUAAACUUCAGGCUCUCAUCAUCUGUAACAUUGAAUUUGAUCACUUACCUGAACAAAGUGGGGCUGAACAUGAUGUUUUGGGAAUGACUGAACGACUUAAGGACCUAGGAUAUAAUGUGGAUGUCAAAGAAAACCUUACAGCACAGAUAACAUUUCUUGGAGAGUUAAUGAAGUGGGUUCUCUCUUCAUCAAGCAGUUCAUAGAGUGUUUCCAAAAAUUUGCCUACUGCUUGCACUUGGAGGAUAUUUUCCAUAAGAAGCUCAACUAUAGGUCUCAGCUAUUCUCCCAAACUCAGUGUCAGAAUCCACUGCUUCAACCACAUCCCUGAGAUGAGAUGGUGAAGGUCAGAGUCAAAGCAUUUGGCCAGAUUUUGUACCCAGUAAUUAGAAUUUCAUUCACUUCAGGCAGAGCAGUUGUUAUAAAUUCAUUAUAACCUUCAUUAACAUCAACUAAAUGGCUUAUUGGGUUCCAGUAUGAUUCCAGAAUGUUCAAAGAUAUUUUUAAGGCUGAGAAUUGAAAGCUGGUGAUCAGUGGAAAAGCCAUUGCUAUCUCAGAAGACUGUGAUCCCAUCAAUAUUAAAUUGGGAAAUCAUGUGACUUAGUUUGUAGUAGAGUCAACUGUAUGUCUUUACCACUUUGGAAAAGACUGGGGCUCCUUUGAAAGAGGGAGCUAAGUGUAUCAUCAUUGCCAUACAUACUAUUGAUGCCCCUAUGUUCAAGAUGGGAGUGAAACAUGAGAAAAAUAAUUAUUCUCUUAAGAUUGUUAGUAAUGCUUCUUGCUCUACCAAUUGCAUGGCUCCCCUAGCCAAGACCAUGACAAUGUUGUCAUUACUGUUACCCAGAGGACAGUAAAUGGACCUCUUGUGAAUUGUGGUAUUAUGGAUGUGGUGGUACUGCCCAAAAUAUCGUCCUUGCUUCCACUGGUGCUGUGGUAGUUAUGGACAAGUUCAUCCUUAAGCUGAAUGGAAAGCUCACAGGCAUGGCCUUCCAUGUUUUUGUUGUGUAUCUGGUCUGCCUCCCGGAAAAUCCUGUCAAAUAUGAUAUCAAUAAAAUGGUAAAAACAAGCAUCAGAGGGGCACUUGAAGAGAAUCUUGGCUUACACAGAGCACUAGGUUGUAUUAUGUGACUUUAAAAAGAACAACCCUUUUGUAUCUUCAGUGCUAGUGUUUGUAUUAUCAUUAAAUACUACUUUUGUCAAGCUCAUUUCCUUCUAUGACAAUGAAUAUGGUUAUAACAACCGUGUAGUAGACCUCAUAGCCUAUAGGACCUCCAAAGAGUAGUAGAAAGCUAUGGAUUUUUACCUCCAAUAAAAGAGUAUUUCUGCCAUUGGUGAAACAUAUAUUUCUAACCUAUUUCCCUAAUACUGGAGAU